GGAUAUAGCUCAGUGGUAGAGCACGUGCUUAGCAUGCAUAAAGUCCUGGGUUCAAUCCCUGGUACCUCCA
rnacentral:tRNA from 1 species